AGGAAAUUUUUUUGGCUUCCAUGGAGGGAAAGGCUGACUUUUUGGGUGGCUUCACCCAGCGCUUCAGUGGAAGUCAUCAAGGGCCACGUCUCCCUCUCUCCGUCAUACUCUUCUUCCAGAAUUGCCUUAUCCUGAGCCUUCUGAAUUGGAGGAUUGCUGUGGUAGCCAACAGGACGCCUGCUUCUUUGUUCUCAUUAGGAGAGGCUCCUCUCCCACAAUUGUUGGAGCCGGGCAGUUUUCUUUGUUCCCAGUGAGUCCACUUAUGGUCUCUACACCAAUAGAGUCACCGGAGAAAUGGCAGGUGGCAAGGGGCGUUGUCAUGGAAUGGGUUGCCAUGAUGGGUAUGGUACAUGGAUCAGGGCCCACCCUGGAUCUGGAGUGAAUUCCUCAGAUUGCAUUUCUGUGACAGAUGGCCGAGGGGAUGAAUGGAUGUUGGGCAAUCAAUUACUAUGUCAGCUCCAAUCUUAAAAUCUAAACUCAUCCUGUCUACUUGUUUCACUCAACCCAUACUUUCCCUUGUAUUUAAUUAGUUUAUUUUUAUUUUUGUGGUACUGGGAAUCAAACCAGGGACACUGUACCACCAAGGUACAUCCCCGUCCCUUUUUAUUUUGAGACAGAGUUUUGCUAAAUUGCUGAGGCUGGUUUUGAAUUUGCGAUCCCCCUGCCUCAGCCUCCCAAGAUGCGUGCCACCACGCCUGGCUUCCCCUUGUAUGUCUAUUUCAGCUCAUGAUCCCACCGUUAACUCAGCUACUUAAACCAAAAACCAGCGUCAUCCUCGACUUGCUCUCCGUUGCUCCCACUCAGUGAUGACUCCAUCACCAAGAACCAGCAAUUUCAUCUUGUGGGUGCCCCUCUCAUAUCUGACAUCUCCUCUCUAAUGGCUUUUAAAUUGGUUUCCUUUCCCCAGUCCCAACACCCUCCAAUUUACCCUCCCUGCUGCUUCCAGAAUGAGCUUUCUAAAAUGCAAAUCUGAUCUUCUCUGUCACUCCCUUUGCUUAAACUACUCAUUGGCUUCAUAACAUUUAUAGGAUAAAAAUCCAACCUCUUCCUAGGUGGUUGGGAGCUAAGUAGGAUUUAAAAUGCUUUAUCUUGGGAACAAAGGGACCACAGCUAAUGCUGACACACUGUGGUCUGAACAGAAUGCUGGGUGGUGUGCAUGUGUGCGGGGAGGGCCCGAUGAGAGGCUGUGAGCCGGGGUGCAGGGAGGAGCCAGUACCAGGCAGCCUGAAGCUUGACAGGGC
rnacentral:lncRNA from 1 species